CCUUCUCUCUCCCUUGAUCCUUACACUCUAUUUGGAUACAGUAAAAUAAAACAGAUUUUCAUUUAAAAUACAAAAUUUGGAAUGGGAAAGCAGUUUUCCCUUGUUUGGGAACUUGUAGUGUGAGAAUAGCCAAUUUCUACAAAAAAAAAGGGGAAAUUUGGGAUGAAGAUUACCGAGUUUAAUUUCCGUCUAAAUAGGUGGAAUUCACAAUUCCAACAACAAGGAGAAUCCCAAAUCCAUUGGCUGGAAAUCUUGCACGCGCCAAAUUUCAUGAUUAGGGCGCCAAACUGGGAUGAUUAGCGCCAAAGUUCACAAUAAAAAGGGCUUCACUCUGUUAGCUCUCCAAUCUUCGAAGGGAGUCUCGCUCAUGCUUUAUCUUCUUCUUUCAUUCUAGGUACUGCCAAAUGGACAACGUUUCGUGAUACAUUGGCAUUGCAGAUGUUCCAUGAUUACCAAGGAGCAAUGGAAGGAUUCGAUAGAAAACCAGUAUGCAAACAAAAACCAGGGAAAAAGAAAGAGAACCAAAAAUUGAAAAUGAAGGAGAUGAAAAUAAUUAUUUUAGAUGGAAUGUAGACAUGGAACGUGCUUUUGGCUAACAUAUUUCGCAAAGAACGAAGAUUGGGUAACAAAGGAGAUGGUGGUUGGAAUACAGCUGCUUAUAAUUUUACUGCAUUUAUAUUAUCUACUCAAUUUGAUAUUCAUGUAACUGCCGAUAACAUUCGAAAUCAUGUGAAGUGUUGGAAAAAGCUCUAUGCAAUAGUGAGUGAUAUACUAAAUUAAAGUGGAUUUAGUUGGGAUGCAACCAAAAAGAUGAUAAGUGUAGAUGAAGAUCAUGUCUGGCAAGAGUACGUGAAGGUAUGACAAAUUCAUUCUUUUCCUUUUGUUUGUGUGAUAUUCUUUUAACUCUUCUUAUACUUAUGGUUUGUUUUUUAUUUUUAUGUUUUGAUUGGUAGUCACAUAGUGGUGCUAAAAGUUUUUGUUGGAAGGUCAUUCCAAAUUAGGAUGAUAUAGUGGAUUUGUGUGGUAAAGAUAGAGCCACGGGUGAGGGUGCUGAAAUAGGUGUGGAAGCUAUUGAGAUUAUGACUCCUCCGCAUAAUGAAACUAAUCAUAUUGAUUUGGAUAGUGAUACGCAAGGUUUAGAAGAUAUUGAAAUUAUUAAUGAUAUUUCACCUACUUCAACCAUUGGUCAAAAGGCUCAUAGCAAGAGAAAGCCAACAAAUUUUGUUGAUGUGCCUCAUACAAAGAAAAAACCAACCACCCCUAAAGAUAUGAUUGCAAAUUCACUUGCCAAGAUGGCUUCAUCCUUUCAAGACUAUAUUUGUGUAGACACAAAGAAGCUUGAUCGAACAGAGGUAUAUGAUGAAGUAAAUGCAAUACCAGAUCUCAGUGAGAAGAACAAAUCAAAGCAUGUGCUUGGUUGAUCAAAAAUGACAAGCAAUUUCUCAUGUUGAAGACACUCCCAGUUGAGAAGAAAAAUAAAAUGGUAUUAUUGUUUACUUCACGAGGCGCAUAGGAUUGUUUUCAUUAUAUUUCCCAUUUUAGUGUUUUUCAGUAAGAUAUUAGUUAAAAUAAAAGCUUUGCAUGUCAUGAAAGUUCAUUGACAUUUGCAAGUGUGCUUUACUGGGAUUUUUCUACUUCAAUCAACUUUAUCAUAUUAUUGCAGACUCAUCACAUUAUUGCAGCUAUUAAUUGUUGGAAAAUUUACUCUAAUUUUAACUAAUAUCUUGAUGAUGUAUCA